rnacentral:misc_RNA from 1 species
CAACCAUUUUUCACUGAAGAUGACGAUUCACCAAAAGCAGCCCUUAGAUAAGCAUCAACAAACACGAGCACGAGAGAAAGUUAUCUUUCUGGACGAGAUUCCGAAAGGAUUUCUGAUACACAAAGCUUUAGAUUCGAAUAUUCGAAACACUGUGUGUAUAUGGCAGCUGGAGCAUAUAACAAGGAGAUUGCAAGAAUGAUUGAUCGAAAGAGGUGGUGUUGAAAGAUGUGAGAAG